GGCAACCAAACCCCAGCCGGGAAGGAGAGGGGGGGAGGGGAGGGGGAAGAGAGAGAUUUUCCCCCAGCCACCCCCACCCCUUUUUCUUUUUUCUCCUAGGCUGCACUUUGGAAGAGGUGCAGUCAUUCUUCCCCACACCCCCUACCCUCUCUCCACUCCCCUAACUAUAAAUUCCCUUCGGUAGCAUGCUGCCCUUUUUUAAUCCACAUUUGUGUUUCAGAUCAUGUAGAAAGGACAGAAAGUGAGCAGGGAGCGGGGGCUUUUGUCUAUUGUUCUCCUUGUGCUACUUGAGAGAAACUGCAACCUCAAGACUUAACAGAAUCUAAAAAUGGUUUAUCACGCAAGGUUAAUGAUCUGGGUAAGCCAGAAAAUCUUUCCAACCAGCCAACGGGAUGGGGGAUUUCCAAAGGGAAUUCUCCCCAUCUCAAAGGAAGUAAAUCGCAAGAAGAAAAGUGAGGCAAAAGGGGCAAGCCUGGUUCCAGUAAAUGGCUACGGACACCAUUUCGCCAGAAUCAGUUACCUCUACUCUUUUUAGUCAUAAUUUCUUCAUUUGUGUUACAUAUGGUAUAUGGGUUUUAUGAGGUCAUGGUGUCAUAUAUCGGGAAUUGUUUCUGUGUAUAUCAUCAAGUGUAAGAAGAAACUAUGGGACUCUGAGCCUUGCUUUAGAGAAUAACAGUGGACAAAUAUGUACCAUAAAAAACAGUUUUUAACAUUCUGACUCAAGCAAAAGCUCUCAGAAUUUCACACUGUGAAUCCAUGUUUACAAACAUUACAGGUGGGCCCUCAGGCCUAGUUCUACCACAGCAAUGUCUUCCACCACUCAAACUCCACUGCUCACACGCAACCGGUAAACCACUCUCUCCAUUUCCACCAUCCCAAACUGCUUCUUGCAGAGGCUGAGAGUCCCCCUUUUUUCAUUUAGAUGUAACAAGACUAGUACUUUAUUUUCAUCGAUUGUCUGUAUAUCUCUAUAUUUUAUCCAUGUACUCUUUUGAUGUAUAGAAGUAGUAUGAAACUCAUGGUUUCCUUGUGGUAAGUGAUUGUGAUGCUGCCACGGGAUUUGAGACACUGAUGAAUGGUGCUAUUUUGGACUUUAAAUAUGCUCCUUGGCAAGGUAGCUCUGAUGGAGUUAUUUUUUAUUUCCAUGUUCUGAGAAGGUGUUGGUACUUUGUUUUUCUGAAUGUUGUUCUUUGGACUGGACUGACUUGUUUACUUGUGUCUUCAGUGUGGCUUUCUUAUUCAGUGCUGUAGGUGAGAAACUACUUAUAGUGUACAAGUGAGGAACUGUUUUCCUAUCAGGGUCCACUCACAAACAUACAGUUAUAGUGGGAGCAAUCACAAAACUGUAAUUUAUGUAAAAUCCCCUUUCUGACUCCUAUCCACCUAAUGGAGAAAGAUGAGCAAUAAUUUUCCACCAACCUCUCAAAAUCUCUUUUCAUUUUUGUCCUUUUUUUUCUUUUCUUUAACACCUUUUUUAAAGAAGGGACAAGUUUUAGUGUCCUCUUCAAAUUCAUAAAAUAGGGGAUAUAGUUAGAAAAACACAGCAAAUUUCUGGGAGGAGAAGUCCUAAAGGGGAAAGAGCACAUUUCCACAGUACUGUCAACACGUGGACUUUACAUUUUUGUUCUUGCUCCCUGACUACUUUAAAUGCAAGAUAAAACAAAACACAAAACUAAACAGUAUCAUCUGCUCAUGGAGUGGUGUUGUGCUAGACGCAGUCUGAAAGCCCACCUUAAUUUUUUAUAUAAUUCUGUCUUUUAGCUCUUCCUUCUACAGGGCAGGCCUUGUUCUGAACUGUUUUAGCUUCUGACUGUUAAAUACCAAUGCAUGCACUGCACUUCCUAGAUUUCUUUUCUUCCUCCACCUUCUGUGUCCCUUUUCUUGCACAUUUUAUUUUCAAAUAGAUUAGAUACAUCUACUGUGCUGUAUAUAGAGCAAGAAGAAAUAUUCAGCAGUUGUGGCAUUUAUGUAUAGUUGCAGUUGUGUACUGCUGAAAACGCAGGCUUUUGUAACAAUGUGAUCUUUAAUAACGCACUACAAGUACCAAUGUAUUUUAGCUAUUUUAGUAGGAUUUGUUCAAUAAAUACGUAAGCUCUGAGGGUA